rnacentral:SRP_RNA from 1 species
GCCGGGCGUGGUGGUGCGUGCCUGUAAUCCCAGCUACUCAGGAGGCUGAGGCAGGAGAAUCCCUUGAACCCGGGAGGCGGGGGUUGCAGUGAGCCAAGAUCACACCACUGCACUCCAGCCUGGGCAACAGAGCGAGACUCUGCCUCGA